UGACGUCACGGCAAGAGUCUCUCGCCUUCGGUGCACAGCGUUCUCUCUAUAGGAAUCGAAACCGCGGCCCGCACAGCCCGCGGGCACUGCUCCGACAGAGAGCAGACGGCACCGGGGAAUAGACGCCUUUCUACCCGGGCACUGCACGGAGCCAGCGAGGUGGACGCUGGACCAGACACCUAGUGCAGAGACAUCAUAGGAGGGUCUCAAGGCAGUUGAAUGGAAGAUGGUCACCUCCAGAGCCAGACAGCGUGCGGCUGUGACUGCUUCCCCAACACAACCGGGGAACAGAUACGAAGCUGUGGCAGCACUGAAGGAUGAUGUAGCAGAGGAAGCCGCAGGGGAAGACACAUCCAUAACAACCAUGCAGGCUGAGCAACAACCAGGCAGCCAGAAGAAAAGAUGCCGGGUCAUCAUCGUGGGCGACUCCCUCCUGAGAGGCACAGAGGGGCCUAUUUGUCGACUGGAUCCCACAGCACGGGAGGUUUGCUGCCUGCCUGGAGCCAGGAUCCAAGACAUCGCUGUUAGGAUUCCUGACCUCAUCCAGCCCUCCAAUUACUAUCCCAUAGUCCUUGUCCAUGUGGGCACAAAUGAUGUGGCUAGGAGUAGUCCAAACCACAUCAUGAGUGACUACAGGGUUCUGGGGGCUGGGCAUAGGAAGUCAGGGGCACAGGUUGUCUUCUCAUCGAUCCUCCUGGUCAGCGGUCAUCAUCAACACCAAGACGCCUGCAUCAGAGAAGUCAACCUGCAGCUCCGGAGUUGGUGCCAUCAUGCAGGUUUUGUCUUCUACAACCAUGAUCCACGCUUCCAUGAGAGAGGUAUCCUGGGACGAGAUGGUCUUCAUCUUUCUUCUGAAGGUAAGAGUCUGUUCUCUUACAGGUUGGAUGAUCUCUUCUGAAGGACUUUAAACUAGGUUUGUCAGGAGACAGGAAUGCAGUGGACAAAGACAACCUAGGAUCAGAGAGCCACAGGCCAUGCGCUGGAUCACUCAGAUCUAGACAAAUCUCCCAAAAGCAUUACAGACAGAAGCCGGAGGAACACCAGCUCACCUACUGUCAGUGCCAACCUAGUAAAGAGACACUUGGAGGGGCUGGAUAUGUUUCAGUCAGCGAGACCAGAUGAGCUCCAUCCAAGGGUGCUGAAAGAAUUAGCCAGUGUCAUAGCAGAGCCACUGGCACAGCUGUUUGAGCACUCGUGGUGCUCAGGUGAGGUCCCAGAGGACUGGAAAAGGGCCAGUGUGGUCCCUAUUUUCAAGAAGGGGAGGAGGGAGGAACUGGGAAACUACAGACUGGUUAGUCUCUCCUCUAUGUUUGGGAAAACCCUUGAAAAAAUUAUCAAGGAUCACAUUUGUAGGAGUCCAGCAGGUAAUAUAAUGCUAAAGAAUAACCAGCACGGGUUCAGAGCAGGUUAGUCAGGCAGGAUCUACCUUGUUUCUUUCUAUGACCAAGUCACUAAAUGCUUAAAUACAGAAGUCGAGGUAGAUGUCAUCUACUUGGACUUUAAGAAGGCCUUCAACACAGUAUCCUAUCCCAUUCUCAUAAACAAAUUGAACAGUUGUGCCAUAGACGAUUACACGGUCAUGUGGGUGGCAUAUUGGCUUAAGGGUUGUACCCAGAGAGUGGCGGUGGACAGGUCGGUAUCGACCUGGAAAGAUGUGGGCAGUAGGGUCCCCGAAGGCUCAGACCUUUGGCCGACACUGUUCAAUAGCUUCAUCAGCAAUCCGGAUGAGGGUGUGGAAAGCACUCUGACCAGAUUCACAGAUGACACAAAACUAUGGGGUGAAGUAAACACACUGAUGGGAAGAAACCAAAUCCAGGCAGACCUGGACAGAUUAGAGAAGUGGCCAGAGAACAAUAGGAUGCAGUUCAACAAGGACAAGUGCAAGGUGCUGCACCUAGGGAUAGGGAAUCACCAGCACACCUAUAGGCUGGGGGAUGACCUUCUCAGCAGCACAGCAGCAGAAAGAGAUCUCAGAGUCAUUAUCAACUGCUGCCUAUAAAUUCAUCAGAGGAGGGCAGCAGGGAAUAGGAGAUGCUCUGUUUACCAGGACACCACCUGGAAUAACCAGGAACAAUGGCCACAAGCUGAGAGAGAGUAGAUUUAGGUUGGACAUGAGAAAGAUCUUCACAGUUAGAGUAGCCAGGAUCUGGAAUGGGCUUCCAAAGGAGGUGGUGCUCUCCCCUACCUUGGGGGUCUUCAAGAAGAGACUGGUCAAGCACCUAGCUGGGGCCAGAUGACCCCAGCACUUUUUCCUGCCACGGGCAGGGGGUUGGACUUAAUGAUCCAUUGAGGUCUCUUCCAACCCUAGCAUCUAUGAAUCUAUUGUUAACAGGUCAGCUACUAUUGUAUAUAAUUCAUAUAACAAUUCUACCUGUAACUGUGUAUCUCCUACAGGAACAUAAUCUGCAAGACAGUUGAACAUAGGGAUCAUGUAAACAAAAAGGACUCUUAAUGUAUUGUUUAGUUUAGUUUAUUGUGUUAGGGGAAUUGGUUUAAACUCUACCCAGAAAAAGGACUCUUGCCAAUGUAAGCUGUGUCUCCACAAGGGGGAAGAGUUAACACUUAUAAGUGUAGCUCAGACAGCCCCAAAAAGAGCAUUUGUAGAUCACUGGGCAUGUCUACAUAAGAUGCUUAAUAUGCAGUAGACUAAUUCUGUGCAUUAGUGUACAUGGUAAAAACCAUGCUAAUACGCUCAUGCGCAAUAGUAUUAGUCUACUGCACAUUAAGCAUCACACAAAAAGCGUGUGAUCAUGCUAAUGUGCAGUACAGCAGCUUGCUGCUCAUUUAUUUAGUACUUGAUUAUACAAGUACUAAAUUUAAUGCGCAGUAGGCACUGUGAAUUAAUGAACACGUAGACAUGCCCGCUGUGUCCCAUUCAAUGCAGGUAUCAUUGCAAUGAAGGAAGUUUCCUUGUUUCUUAAUCUUCUUAAUCAUAAAGUGUUGUUAAAUACUGUAGACAUGCACAAAUUAUGCAAUUCCAACUUUGUAAAUCACAUGGGUUACAAUAUUUCCAAAUCAGCAUUGUUUACAAAAGCAGUAAGAGGAGCUGGACUUGUUUCUCCCAUAGAUCCUUCCCAGUGGAAACAUUUAAGAGCCUUUGGGCCACUAUUAGAGGUGGCAAACUGCAAGCUGUGUAUGAGUGGCAAUUCUGUCUUGUUCUUUGUGUAAGAAUGAAAGGUAGAUACUUUAUAAAAAACAAAUGCAACCACUUUUUAUCCUGGAUCUAACCAGAGACAGAUGGCAUCAAAGUGAUUAUAUACAGGAAAUGAAAUGACAGGCAAAUGUUGAACAUUAGCACACAAUUUAUAUAUAUAUCAAUGAUUAGAUUAGUCCAGUGAUUCCAAAAGGGUGUGCCAGGGCAUACUAGUGUGCUGUGAGAGCAACAGAAGUAUGCCAUGAGCUCCCCCUGUCUAAGGAGGUAAAUGCUCUCCUCCCCAGUUCAACAGCUGCUCCUCUGGGGACUGUAGCCACUGCUGCUCCCUUCCCUCUCCUUUUCCCACCUUCAGGAAGUCCAUGACCCCACCACCACCAUGAACAUUGUGCUCUGCCGUGAGCAGAUGGACGCACAGAUGGAACUGUGCUUUGCAGCCCAGCUUUUCCCAUCUAUCUCUCCCAUGCGGUGGUGGUUGUGGGUGGUGUGAGAGACCCUGCAGAAGCAGCCUGAGGUACAGAUCAGGGCUCAGGAGGGGGCAGACAACAGAAAGAACAGAGCACAGGCAGGAUGAGGUCCUGUCCCUGUUGCCCUUAAGUGGCACCAGCUAUAUCAGCAACCCCCAAGUCUUUUAGCCACAAGGCUCACCCCCAUAACUUUUCUGAAUUUAGAUCCAUCUCAGUGACUUUCAGUUAGGAUGCCACAAAAUUCAGAAAAAAUUCUGAGGAGUACCUUGAGGCUAAGAAGACUGAGAACACUGGUAUAGAAAGUAAUCCUUUGCUUAAAGAAAGAUGUGUUUGGAAUCAUUUUUUUAACAGUACAUCUCAAUACUGUAUGAUUUGCUCUGGUAGGAGAAUGCAAUGUGUUGUAUGUUUUGGAAAAACAUACACACACACACACACGCACUUUUUUGGGUAUAAGAAUAGACUGUCCUGCCAAUUUUAAAUUUAAAGUGUGCCCCAGGUAUCCAAAGUUUGGGAAACACUGGAUUAGUCAGUUUGACUUUGGUUCCCAUCAGUUUUCUUUCUGGUUCAAAUGAGCUAACAGGAUGGUACAAUACGUGGGUUGCAGACAUUGCAGCCAAGUGCUUAAAUCUGAGUGACAGAAGUGUUCUAAAUUUUAUAAAAUAUAUAUUAAAAAAUGAGUUUCUGUUAAAACCUGCCCCCACUGCAAUGUAAACUGCAGUCCCGUGGAGAGUACCUGGGAAAGGGAAACAGGUUCAAGAGCCAAGAACAAAAUCUUCAGAUGACAUGCUGGUUUCUGUGGAUCCCCUGCAAUUCACAAGGAUUUGAAUGGAUUUGUGUAUGCCCUUGGGAGACAGGUCUGAUGGGGAAAUGAGCCCAGGAAAGCUGUCUGUACUUUAAGGAGGCCCUUUUAAGGUUGCAGGAGCAAGCUAUCCUAAUGUGGCAGAAGAAUGGGAAGUGCAAUAGGAGACCAGCCUGGAUAAAGAAAAGUCUCUUCAAGGAGAUAAAACUCAAAAAGGAAUCCUAUGAAAAGUGGCAACUUAGUCGUAGUACUAGGGAUUAUUGCACAGGCUUGCAAACAGAAAAUAAGGCCAAGGAGCAAUUUGAGAUGCAGCUGGAAAGAAACAUAAAAGGCAGUAAAUAAUGAGUCCAUCAGUAUGCCAAAAGUAAAAGGAAGACCAGAGAUUCCAUAGGUCCCUUAUGGAAUGCAGAGGGGAAGGCAAUCUAGUCACAGGUGAUGCAGAGAAGGCUGAAGUAUUUAAUGCCUUUUUUUACUUUAGUUUUCACUCAAGUGCCACGGACAGCAGAGAUAGGGAAAGAGACAAACAGCCUAGAGAGUAAAAACCAGGUUAGAGAUUACUUAGAAAAGAUGCUUUCAAGUUGGCAGGGCCAUAUGGGAUACAUCUGAGGGUACUAAAUGAAUUGACCCACAUAAUUUCGGACCCACUGGCUAACCUUUUUGAACUUGGGAACUCAUGGAGAACUCCAAGAGCUAGGCAAGGUCCUGGAAGACUGGAAACGGGGAAAUAUAGUACCCAUCUUUAAGAAGGGGAAGAAGAAGGAUCCAAGGGACUAUAGACCAGUCAGCCUGACCUCUAUUCCUGGAAAGAUCAUGGAGCAGGUUCUCAAGGCAUGUGUUGUGAAGCACCUAGAGGAGAACAAGGUGAUUAGGAACAAUCAACUUGAAUUCACCAAGAGCAAGUCAUAUCUGACUAAUUUGAUCUAUGAUAAAGCGACAAACACUGUGGAUGAAGGGAGUGUUAUACCUUCUUUUUAGCAAGACUGUUAAUUUUCCCAUGAUAUCCUCAUUAACAAGUUAAGAAAAUACGGACUAGGUGAAAGUUGGAAGGAAUUACAGACUCUCUGGAGGAUAGGGCUAGGAUCCAGAAUGACCUGGAGAGACUGGAAAUAUGGUCCACAAUUAGCCAGAUGAGAUUCAACAAGGACAAGUGUAAAGUCCUGCGCUUGGCAUGGAAUAACUGCAUGCACCACUACAGACCGAGGAAUGACUGGCUUAGUUGCAGUACUGCAGAGAAGGACAUGGGGGCUACAGUGAACCAUAAGAUGAAUAUAGGCCAACAGCAUGCUCUUGUUGCAAAAAAAAGCCAACAGCAUCCUGGGUACUAUUAACAGGAUUGUAACUUGCAAAUCAAGAUAAAUAAUUCUUCUGUUCUAUUCAGCACUGGCAAGGCCUCACCUGGAGCAAUUUUUCCAGUUUUGAACUCCCACUUCAAGAAAGAUGUGGACAGUUUGGAAAGAGUCCAGUGCAGGGCAACAAAAAUGAUUAGAGGCCUGGGAAGGAAAACUAAUGAGAACAGGCUGAAAAAACUAGGGUUAUUUAACCUGGAGAAGAGAAGACUAAAGGAAGAUGUGAUAGUAGUGUUCAAAUACCUGAAGGGUGAUUAUAGAGAAGAUGGAGAUGAGCUUUUCUAUAUGGCUGUAGGGAACAGGACUAGGAUCAACAGCCUCAAACUGCAGCAGGAGAAAUUUAGGCUGGAGUCGGUGGUCCGCCAUUUUAACAGGCUACCUAGAAAAGCUAUGCAUUCUCCAUGCUUGGAAAUUUUCAAGAGCAGGUUAGACAGACACUUGGGUGGGAUAGUUUAGUCAGGGAUGAUUCUGCCUUGAGCAGAGGGCUAGAAUAGAUGACCUUGUGAGGUCCCUUCCAACCUACUUUCCUACAACCCUAUAAUCUCAUUUAAUAAUGGAAUAGAAGCACCCUGUGCUUCUGUGUCCCCACUGAAUAUUGAAUUUUACUGACUUUUUUUUUUUGCCCAGGCCCAAAUUCUUUAUCACAGGAAGGGACAUUCUACUGAUAUUUCAUAAAAGCUUCAAGCAUAUGUCUCAUGCUUAAUAAGGCAUGUGCAGUGCAUUACACUUUAAAGUAAUGGGUGUACAGGUCUAAGUUGGCUAUAUGUAGUGUGUGAUGUACAAUUAUGUCCACACCUUUCAGGAAAGGCAUAUUUAUUCUGCUUUAUUGCUGUUGUUCAAAAAACCAGCCUAAAUAAAGGCAAUUACAUUUUGAAUUACAGAGGGUGUGAACUAUUCUCAGACAAGGAAUUUUGAGACUAUUACACCAUCCACACACUCUUGCACUCAGUGAUUCUAAACUACUUUUAAUAAUACCCUUUUUAGAGGCUAUUUGAUUAUAUAAUAAGCUACAAACAGUGGGUUUGGCAUGAAUAAAAAUGUUAGUGUGUGCAGUUCUCACCUUCUUUCAUGUGUAUAAAAAUGCAGCUGAAACAUUGGCCUGAUUUUUGCAAAAAGUCUAAUUAGUUUGCAACCUUAGAAGUUAAUUCAACCAUGUAAUUCAAAAAAAGAUAUGAGGUUAAGGGUCUCUCACGAUUUUCCGCUCUUUGAUACUACUAAAUGAUUAUUUAUGAACUACAUGUACUACUAAGAGUGUUUACCUUGAAACAAACAUCUUGGCUUCAUGAAACUAACGAAGGCAUCUUAAGAGCCACUAUGAUUCUUGUAGGGUAUGAACAGAAGGAAUUGGAAAUUGUACUGCAAGAAUUGAACCAAACUAGGCCUACUGUAAAAGUUAUUCUUUUCUCUAGGAUUCCUACUUUUUAAGGCUUUGGGAAGUUUCCCAUUGGGUUCUGAUCUUAUUCAGUGGCAUCUUAGGUAUUUAGAUGUCCUACAUUAUCAUGAAAACUUUACAACACCUCUGUAAGGUAGGGAAAUAGUCAUCUCCAUAUUUGCAGAUAGAGAAGUGACAUGCAGGGCCUCACUGUGUCCAGAGAACAGAGGACUGAGCAUGUCCACACACCUGCCAGAACAUUCCAGAACCAGAAUUUUCCUCCCAGCACUUGGUCUCAAACCCUCAGUCCCUUGUUGGUCUCAGAGCAGGCACUGGAAACCAACCCACAGCGCCUCACUGGCAAUUUUUCAGCUCUGGAGUGUGUCAGUGAACAUGGGUCGGUCGGUGGGGCACAGUCAAUUCCUUACUCCCAGGGAUGGCUGAUGUGGUAUAGGUGAGCCCACAAAGACACUAAGGUAGAAAUCGACAAUGAUUGUUCUGUAAACUUGAGUCCACAAAAAAUUGUGUUCUCUGUGUGUAUCUUAUUUAGUUAAUUUAUGUGGCAUGGGCAACUGAUGCCACCUUACUCAGGGGAGGCAUGUGCCCCACCAGCAACCAGUCAGUGAGCGGGGGAGGUCCUCCCCAUGGCCAAUCUCACUCACCAGCUUCCUGAAGUGACCAUGGCACUUCUGGAAGAGGCCAUGGCGCUCCCACUGUCCAGCUGGCACUCGCAGGAGUGGGGAGGGGGGCUUCUACCAGCCCCCUUGCCUGUUGCCUAUGCAGGGAGCGCAGCCUGUCAGGGAGUGCACCGGCACUCUCAGGGAUUGCAUGUGCACCCCCUACAUGUCACCACUGUAUAAAGGUGCAUAUCUACCAUGCUUUUUUAGGUUCCCUGUCCCCCUGUGGAAUUUGCAGCCUUGAGUUAGACACACAGGGUACCUAUACACGUACACUGAGGCUGCUCCAAUGUGUGUAAUUACAGCAUGGCAGCACUGACUCGAUUCUAGACCAUAGUAAUUACUGCACUCCAGCAGGCUCCAGUGCGAGAUGUAUCAGCAGCCCUGCGCUGAAAAAUGGUGGCAGGGGUGCUUUAACUAAAGCUUGUUCAAUGAGCUUUAGUUAAAGUCCCAUCGCUGCCAUUUUUCAGUGUGGGGACGCUGAUACAUGUGAUGCUUCAGGUGCUCAAUUAAAGCACCUUUAAUUAGAGCAGCUCUCUGAGCCACUCCAGUUAAAGAACCCCUCCCUCGCCCCCUGCCCAACCCCCGCCUCCCUGACCAUCUGUAUACAUACCCUCAGUUUUCCCACAAAAGCAAGGGAAAAGAUGCACAGAAGCUAGCAAGCUGAGCAGGAAGACACCUAAACCAGUCAGCAAGAAAUGCCAAGAUGACAGGCAAGGCCCAAGUUGAUGCCUCAGAUGUAGUUAGGUAGCAAACUCAAUGCUGCAGGGAGAGUCCUAUCUUUGCUCACAAUUCUCAGCUAUGAACUCUUCCCUGGAGUUAACUGUUUAUGCCAAAUCAGCCCUUUCACAAGAGUUCCCAUUAUUUCCAGUAACCUAAUGCUUCCAAAUCACUGUUACUUUCAGUUGACACUUCAGCCUAAUUUGGAACAGGGAUCUAAACCUGGGUAUACUGAAUCCCUUACUACUAGAAACUGGGGUAUAAAAGCAUUGGAUUAGAAGAGACCUCAAGGAUCAUUUAGUUUAAUCUGCACAGAGGAUGGAUUCCUUCAUCUCAUACUAAUCACACCUCUUUUUGAAAACCUCUAACAAACAAGAUCCCACAACUUUCCCUGGCCGCUUGUUCUACUGUCCUGUUGCUCUCACAGUUAGGAUGUUUUUUCAGGAUUUGAUCUAGACCUUUAUAAUAUAGUGAUUCUUUUUCAAUCCCACCUGUUUAAACUAUUCCAUUUUGUAUGGAUAGUGUAAUUGUAGUCAGGAUUGGAACCUGACUUUACCAUCACCCAGGUGAAUGUCCUCCCACUGACAAACUCCUUCUCAUGGCUUUGCCAACUUGCUGUCUUCUGUGCUCUGGAAUGCCUAUCAGAUCAGACUUCACAGAAGAUAUAGGUGGGACCACGCCUGACUUAAGAAUGGUGCUGGCGCUUAGACGUGAGCUAGUACUCUGAGCAGCUUGGUGACAUUCAGACUUAGACAUCUAUGUUUUGUUUUGUUUUUAAUAUUUAUAGCAUCUAUUCCAGGAGUGGUAGUCAAGACAAGGUUUCAGGAAAAGGGAUUUUCAAUAUGAUGGUAUUUGAGACCCAUCAUCUGUUGCUACAUGACUGUGAUUAAUUCUAAUUGAUAUUCCAUAACAAGACCGGCUAUUGUUUACUAUGGAGUAUCAACAGUAUUGGAUUUACUGUUCAAGCUAUUUGGCUUCCACACAGAAAGAAGUGUAAGGAAGGCAAAAUACCUAGCCCUUAAAGAGACAUUUUUGUACACUAUAUUAUUUAGACACUAAUACUUUGUGUAGCAGAGAGAGUUCUAGACAGGUCUCUGGAAAACAAAGGAAAUUAAUCUGGAAUUCAAGCUUUGUGGAAGCCUGUUACUAUGUAAUUAUAGUUGUUUUCUCUAAUAAACACUCAUCCUUUUAAGUGGACUGCAAUUCUGUCUGUCAUUACAGUCCCUCUUUGUAAAGUCUAAUUUUCGGCCAACUUGAUACUUUCUACUCAGCACUGCUGGGAAAGAGUUGGUGCCUGCUACAGUAACGAUAAGCUUCCCUGAGCACCUUGAGAAAAGUAGACUAGAUUUUUUUUCUUAAAAUAUCAAGCCUAAAUAGUGACCCCACUAAAGCUGAUAGAAAUCUCCCAUUGAUUUAAAUAAGGCCAGGAGUUCACCCAGUGUCUCAAAUGAACAGGAAAAUCAGCCUUCUGAAAAGACCUUUGCAAAAUAUAAGGCUGUACCUAAGCAGACUUUAUUUUCCAUUUAAUUCCAGCUUGAUACUGCAAAGAUCAAAAAGUUCCAAGAAGCUUUCAGGCCUUUAAUCAGAAUGAGACUAUUGAAAAACGUGACCUUUUAUUUCAAAGCCACUACCCUGCAGUGGCUGUUGACUACCACUGUGAAUACAGACCUCACAUCAGAGUAGUAGCCAUCACUGAACAUUACAGAACACAUUGCUACAGGCACGUAGGGAAUCUAUUACAAUGCAUUGUCUUGCCCAACAGGAAAAACUACUGUCGCUGCAGGUUUUGAGGUAUCUCAGGAAUGGCUCUGUACUUUUCAGUAAUGGCUACUAAACUCAGAGUCAAUGUAGAUCAAGUCACACUUUGCUGAAUAUUGGUGUAGCAUCACAAUAAUAACAAUAACAACAAUAAUAAAAAUAAGCAGUCAAAACAAUGUGCAUUAGUACAUUUGGGCAUAGAUUCCAACAACUGCCCAAAGUCAAAAUGCAAUCCUAAUCACAAGAAUGUUUCAAAAAUGUUUUUACAUUUAUCUGCAAAUAAUCUUAACCAUAGAAAAUGGUAGCCUGCAAAAUCCAAUUAACAUGCUGAUUCAUGUUAUGAGUGCACUACUCAGGUCACUACAGGAAACUGCAGUGUCUUAUGAAGACAAAAUUAUCUAAUUUACUGUGCAAAUAAUGUUGUUUCCAAGGCCUGCAUUUUAGAAGUAUUUUUACCCCAUUUAUCAGCACAGCUCUUCUGAUGUAAGGUCAGCCUGCUGAGUAACAAAACAAGCUGGCACUGCAAAAGAGAAAGGGGGAGGUUCACCAGCUCCCGAGGAUUCAAUAGUAUCAAUGGAUAAAAUGCAGGAAUCUUUCUUGUAUAAGAGGCAAGAGUGUGUAAGAAUCUUUGGGUGAGCUUGGUGUAAGUUCAUGGAUCAUGUACAUUUUAUAUCUGCUAAGGAAGGAAGGGAAUUUUGACAGAAUUAAAUGCUGAAGAAAUCCAAAAUUGAAAUUUCAUCAGCAUUUGUUUAGAUUUUUCCCCUUUCUAAUCAGCAGUAUGUCAAGAUCUCUAUUUAGAAAGUGUCUAGGAUACUGUGCUACCUACCACAAUCUAAGCAAAAAAAUUAUAACUUUGUAUACAAGUCUGGGAAAAAUGUAAGUGCAGUAAGAUCUUCACUGUCUAUUAAUUAGGCUUCCUCAUACUCACAUUAGCAGAGUUUUCAAGUCAAUACCAAUCUUCUAUUAAGUAUGGUUCAUAGUGUGAAUAUAAUCAAAACCUUGGCUUUUCUCUGAAAGAAUCAGGGUUUUAGUCAUUAAAGAGUCCAUUAGAGCAAUUAUGUCAUAGUUGCAUUAAAACUGCAGCUUUGCUUAUGAAGCUUUUUGAGCAGAUAAUGGUUCUCCCUGCCUUAGCUCAUCCAAAAGCUUUAUCUCAGUCAGAAAGAAAUAAACCUCCUAUAGAGAAACACCCACAAAACAGUCCCAUUUAGCACUUCCCAUUUUGCAGAUCACUGUAAAGUAAUUGACUAAUGACUUCUGUACCUCAGCAGUGUGAUGAGGAUUGCGUACUGUCACCACUUCGCAAAGGCAACUGCAGAGACAGUAUUUGUAACUUCCCCAAGAUCACAUGGUAAAUCUACGUCAAAACCACAACAGCAGCUCAGGAUUUCCUCACAAUUGAUUUCAUGGUUAUAUCCCCACAAGAGUCCUUGAAUUAGUAAUUUUGGGAGUCUCUAAAACCAGAGAACAUUUAAAGGUGAUUCCAAGAUAAAAAUGAACAUAGAGUUGGAUAGAUAAGUUGUGAGCUGGUAGAGUCUACACUAACCAAAUUUUAAUGAAGCAAGAGUUCAGAACAAAAUUAUCUAUUAAUAGACUUAGAAACACAGAGAAUCAUAGAGAACUAGGGCUGAAAGGGAUCUUGACAGAUCACCUGCCUGAGGCAGGAUCAUCCAUAUCCAAACCAUCCUGUGCAAAACUACACAGUCAACCAGACACAACACAAGACAUAACACCCUAAUAUGCCACAGGUAAAGCAGCAGUACCAUAGCAAGAGGGAAUUUGGUACCCAAAGUCCAAAGUCUAUUCCACUGCCUCACUGUGCUUUGGUACCCAAAUUCUCCCUUGCUGUUGUAUCACUGCUUUACCUGUAUAUGGUACCCAAAGUCCUGCUACAUCAAAGCUUGUUAAAAUCUGCUUAAGAGAUCCCAGGAAGAGCCACACCCCCUGCAACAGAGGAAGGCAAAAACCCCUGUAGUCCAUACAAAUCUGACCAUGGGGUAAAAUUCCUUCCUGACCCCAAAUGUGGCGACUGGUCUGACCUUGAGCAGAGGGGCAAGACCCUCUAGUCAGGAAAUUCUGGGUUUCAGUCCCAGUAGGAGCAUUGGCACACCCCAGUCAAAAUCCCCAGCCUUGGCUGCAGACAAUACUUAAGGCCUCUGAGGAAGGCUUUAAAAACCCACUGAUAUGUAACAGCAGAGGGUGGGGGAGGGGAGAAAAUUCUCCCCUGACCCCAUGCAGGAACCAGCAAGGACCAGAAGCAUGGGAAAUACCUAGUAGAACAUAUGCAUAGAUAUUCCUAGAUCAUCUCUGGCCAAAGGCCUGUCCAUCCUUCUCUUGAACACCUCUAGUGAUAGAGAUUUCACAACAUCCCUAGCAGUCUGUUCCACUGCCUCUCUAUGCUAACACUGAAGAAGAUAUCCAAUCUAAACUUACUUUGUUGCAACUUCAAGUCAUUGGGACACAUCCUACUCUCCAAGAGAAAAAAGGUAGUUUCCCUCUUCUUUAUGGCAUCCUUUCAAUUUCAUAGAAUCAUAGAAAAUUAGAGUUAGAAGGGGCUGCAGGAGGUCAUCUAGUUCAACCCCCGCUCAAAGCAGGACCAUCCCAAAUUAUAUAAUCCAAGCCAAGGCUUUGUCUAGCCUGGUCUUAAAAACCUCUAAGGAUGGAGAUUCCACAACCUCUCUGGGUAACCUGUUCCAGUGUUUUACUACACUCCUAAUGAGAAAGUUCUUCCUAAUAUCUAACCUAAGUUUUGAAGACUGCUACCAUGACCCCUCUUAAGUGCCAUUUCUGCAAGCUGAACAUGUCUAUUUCCUUCAGCCUCUCCUCAUAUGACUUGCCCAUUGUCAUUUUCAUCUCCUGCUUCUAGACUCUCUCCAUGUCCUUUUUAAAAUAUGGAGCCCAAAACUCCACUCAAUACUUUUGAUGAAGCUGAACCAAGUGUCAAGUAAAAUGGCACUAUCACCUCCUAUGUCUUGCACCCAGUGCUUCUAUUAAUGCAUCCCAAAACUGCAUUCACCUUUUGUGCAGCUACAUCACAGUGCCGACUCAGAUGAAGUCUGUAAUCCACAAAGGCUCCCAGAUCCUUGUCCCUAAUGCUGCCAUCCAGCCAGAUAUCACCCAUUUUGUAUCUGUGUUUUUGAUUAUUCUUCCUGAGGUAUAGCACCUUGCAUUUGUCAGUACUGAACUUCAUCCUGUUUAUCCUCCAACUCAACCUUCCAAUCAGUUGAGAUCCUUCUGAAAUGUGCUUCCAUCCCACAAUGUGUUCACAGUCUUUCCCAGUUUCCUGUUAUCAGCCCCUGAGAGUGCUGGUGCACCCCCUGACAGGCAGCACUCCCCACUUAGGUGACAGGUGGGGUGGGGCAGACGGGAGCACCAGUGCCCCCCCUGCAAGCGCCAGCUGGGGAGUGGGGGUGCCAGGUGAAGUGCCACUGGCACUUCCGGGAGUGCUGCUUGUGCUCCCUGGUGUGAUCGGCCACGGGGGGAUGCCCCCAGUCACUAACUGGCCGCUGCGGGGGGUGGGGAGGGGGCAUGUGCCCCCCUGACUCAGAGGCACCAGUCACCCAUGCCUGUUAUCUUUCUAUGCCAGCACCCAAAUUGUUAAUAAACAUGUUGAACAAAACUGGGCCCAGUCUAGAGCAGCAUUUCUCAACCCAUGGGUCACAACCCAAAAGUGGGUUGCAAGAAUACAUGAAAGGGUUGCGAACCAACUUUAAAAGUAGAUCAACAAACUUUAAAAAUAGAUUUUCCUUUAAAGAAGAAAAAUGUGGGAAACUGUAGCUUUUGCAGGCAGAGUUCCAGCCUGAAAGGAGCUGCGUGGGGCCACCCAUGCCCCAUACACACACAUCCCUGCCCCACACACUGGGGGGCUAGGGCCUGGGGGCAGAUAGCAGUAAGCCAGGGGUGAGCGGCAUUGGGUUGGGACUGGCCACUGAUGUUCAUAAAUGGAUCUUGGUACAAGAAAAGUUGAGAACCACUGGUCUAGAGCAGUGGUGGCCAGCCUUUUUGGCAGGCAUGCUGCAAGGCAAGCCCUGCUCCCUCCCUGAGUUUCAGUCUGAUCACUCUCUUCCCCCUGAUCUACCAUGUGCCAGACACAGGCUGCCUGAAUCAUGGGUUGAUCCCCCUGCUUCAUUCUGGUUUUUUUAUAUUAUUUAUAAACCAUUGGUGACCAAUGGAAAGUAUUAAUGCAGGAACUCUUGAUAAUUCUAGAGGGAAGACAUUAAAAUGCCCACUAAGGCCACUGAGUUCUAAAAAAAAUAGCUGCUGCUUAAUGACAAACUUUUUUCAUAACUUGUACUUUGCCUUACAGGAUAUCUGCAACAAGGGAAUAAUGCAGUUAAUAUACCUUUAGAGUGUAAAUAGCCAACACCAGAUAUGCGUGCUCUGAAAUAUUGUAAGUCAGGGGUUUUCAACCUUUUUUAAAGAGUAUACCCCUUCUGGUGGCGGCGGCCAGAUGUGGAGCAGUGGAGGCUUGCGUGCAGCAGUGGUGGCAUGGAAUGGUGGAUGGUGGUGGUGGUCACAUGCGAGCUCUCCCCCCCCCACCCCAAGUGUGUCUGGACAGGUGGCUGCUGUGCAGCCCGCACAGGGGAGCCACUGCCCUCUCCUCCCCUGCCCUCCCCUGGCCCUGCUCCUGGGAGGCAGUGGUGCAGGGUAGUGGGUAGCAGCACUCUGUCCCUGCCCGCACGCACGCACUAGCACCUUUCCAAGUACCCCCCAGGGGUACACAUACCCCCAGUUGACAACCCAUGUUGUAAGUGACAAGGCUUUGUAGAAUUCAAGAUUCUUAAGUUUCUUGGGCCUGCAGAGUUUCAAAAAGUGGAAAAACUACCUAUAGGCGGAGAACGCCAACAAAUAAGCCCCUCUUCUCAGGAUUCUCCAAUAAACAUGUUGAGCAAGAAACAACCAUCCCCAACAACUCUUUCCUCACUGCAUAUCUCCUCCUUUUGAGCGGGUACAGAGGGAGCUCAAAUUUCUAUGGAAAGACCUUGGCAAAGGCCAUGACAAGUGUUGAGAAGCAGCAGCUGUAUGACAAUUAAGGAACAGCAGGGGAAGUUGAUGCAGACAGAAACUUCCCAUCUACCCAAGAGAUGUGUGCAAAGUAAGUGGCAACAAGUCCUGGGAAACUAUAGCAAUACAGGGUGUGACUGUUGGACCUUGCAAUCAGGAACAGGUCUAUAAUGGAUUUGUAGGGAAACUGGACAGGAAGCCAGAACACUCACUGAUCCUGACUGGACAGUGGCAAGCUCCUAUUUGGUUUUAAUAAAAGACUGAAGAAAAGGCAUGCAAAAUCCUAGGUCUUUAUGCCACUGUACCUAGGGUAUAUGAAAUCUUUAACUUUUUGCCUGCCUUAGUUUUAAAACAAACAAAAAAACCUUUCACUUGAGUUAUGUGAUUGCAUGGUUAUAGAAUCUGCCUGCUGAAACUCCUGCAGCAUUUGCUUCCAAAUUACAUACACUCCAAAAAGAAUGGGACCCAGCCCUGCAUUAGCAAGUCAAGUGAUCUCCAGUUCCUAGAAUCUGAUUGUCAAACAUCAUUUAGCAAUUAAACCUUGCAGGUCAGAACUUUCACUUGGGAGUGGAACAAAGCAGCAACACCCCAGCAAGGAUGCUGUGAGCAUUAAGUAUUGGGUAGAGGAAAAAAACAGCUCCUAAAACUUCCAGACUAACAGGGUAUGUAUGCAUCCCAUCAGGAGCAGAUGCAGGGGCAGCCCAGUGGCUGAGUCGGUACUCCACCCUCGUCCCACGAGCCACUGGGGACCUCAGCUGGCAGCUCCUCCUUGGAGCUAUCGCCACGGGUGUGUAUGAGAUGAGCUUUAUGGACAUUCUGGUCUCCGGCCGCUUCUGCAGGCAGAGGGAGACCCUGGCGCACAUGACCCUCAAAUGCACCAGGCUGCUGCCCCUCCACCUCCAGAACCUUCUCUUGAGGUUCUGAUUGAAUUUCACCCCCCACCUUUUUGUUUUGGGUCACCCCAUCUGCAGCCCCACCAAGUCCUGGGACCUCCUGGUCAACCUCCUCCUGGCUCUGGCCAAGUGGGCCCUGUACUUGACCAGGAAGGAGGCUCUGGCCAGGAAGGUGCCCAGAGAGUGAGGGGCUGCUUUCCUCUCGCUUGUCCACGCACAUUUCUGGGCAGAGCACUAGUAGGCAUUAUCCACCAGCAUCUUGGAUGCCUUUGAGGACCGGUGGGUGCAGCCCAGGGGGCUGUGCUCAGUGUCCCCCUCAGGAGCACUUAUUUUCAUGUUUUGACCAUUUGACUUACACGACAUUCCUAUCCUGUUUUUCCCCCCCCCCAUUAGUUGUCCCAAGUAGUUUGUUGCAGCAUUCACCCAUUAGCCCCCAUACAAUAGGAGCUGCUUGUUAGCCAGGUGGGCCUUAUAGCCCACGGUAUUUGAAUGUUACAAAUAGGAGCAGAUCCAGGUGUGGUACAGCUGCAGCACCCUUUGAUUCUUCCUUCACCCAAACUUUGAAAACCAACUAUCCAGGAGGAACAAGGGCAUUCCUGAAUAGACUUCAUGGCUCAUUAUAAUCUACCUGAUUCCUACUAAUCUCUCUUCAUUCCACAGAUGUUAAUGACCCUUUCUCCUUUUUAAGGGUUUGGAUGUUCCCUUAAUCAAGCUAUCCUUUUUUCCUGAAAUUUUUGCCAUUUGUUAGCCAUUCCUGAUAAUCUUUCUUUACAUUUCACAUCCCUGCAGAUAAUAUUAAGUCAAGUGAAUAUUAACUCAGGUGUGGAAAUGAUUUACAAUGAAGUGUUGGAUGCACUGUCAAGAUGCUCCAAAUGGCUAGAUUUUUGUUUUACGAAUAUGAAGAGAUGCACAUUUAACUAUAAAGAACAGAGGACUAAUACAAUAUUUUUAAAUUAUUUUUGGCCUAAUUUUUUGCAUUUUAAAACUUUAUAUAUAACCAAGCACACGAGUGUGUAUUCCUAUACAGUUAUAUUUAUUAUUGCUUCAGUUUUAAAUUGAAUGGUGUAGUACUGGACCCUAUCAUAUUAGUAAAGCUUUCAGUUUCUCUUUAACUGGAGAAAAAUGUGUGUUAUAUGUGAUGAGGCAUCACAUCAUCUGCACCCAUUUUCAAAAUCCUAGAUCUCUCCAUGCAUGCGAUAGCAAAGUAUUUGAAAAGUUAGGCAUGUAAGAGCUGUGGUUCCCCCUUAGCCAGUCAUUGCCCUACUUUUCUCUACUUUGAAGGGAAAUGUCAGAAAUCAGUCUCUGAAUUUCAGAGAGCAGUCUGUGCACCACAAAAAAAAGGGAAAUGAGCAAUGGUAUUUGAAACCUCCUCAUCCCUGCAUCAGAACAGGGAGCAGGAAUAUAUGCCCCUGCAAUAAGAACAGUGUAACAGGGAACCCUAGCCCUGUUACUAAGAGACAGGGUGGUCCCUUUAAAUACAGAACCUUCCAGUCAUGGCUGGCCGGUCAAGUAGGGCUUAAGGCCCCCAAGGGCUGCAGUUGCUCACAGCCUGCGUGGACCUGCCUGUGCCUGCUCAGGACAGCCCUGGGUGGGCUGCGAGCAGCUAUAGCAGGGAGCGACAGCCAAGGGGCAGGCAAAGGUCCAAUUUUCCCCAGGCUCCUUCCCUGCCUGGGAUCCUCCCCCACCAUCCCCAAUAUGGUCCCUCCUGGGGCUUCCAGGUGGGGGGUGGGGCUGGGCAGGCCCUGCUGUUUCAGGAGCCCGCGGGGCUUCCCCUGGGUCCUACUGUCCCUGGUUCCUGUCAUUUUUUACAGGAACCAAAGACAGAUAAAUAUUAAUUUUCUAAAAUUUUUAGGGGCCCCGCGGGUCAGAUAGAAUGGCCUCAUGGGCCGGAUCCAGCCCACAGGCUGUAUUUUGCCCUCCCCUGAUCUGGACUAUAAGACUCCUUGGGGGCCAGGUCUGGACACAACAGCAGUAGGGUGAGUGGCAACAGCAUGGGAAAUGGCAGAGCAGCACAGCUGUCACUAAUCUCCCUGCUGCUGAAUUCUUUCCCCAGCAGGGCCCCUAUCCCCAAUUCCCAGCUGCUCUAGGAGCUCCGCUGGCCAGAGGAAAUGCUUCCAUGGGCCAGAUCUGGCCCACGGGCUAUAUAUUUGAUGCCUCUGGGCUAGGAACACACUCUUGAGGCACCACCAGCUGCCUCCGAAAACCUCAAAAUUCAUUUGCCUCAGGGGGAAGCAUAUUUCCUGUCUAGGAGUCACCAGUUCCACCACAGUCUGUUCCUGCAUUUCUCAAUAAGAGCAGCCUCAGAGCUGGGACUGUCACCAGCUCUCAACUGUUCUAAUGACCAGUCUCCAGUUCUGCUUGAAACUCAAUCAUUAGGUGAAAAAGUAUCCCUACCACUGGCUCUAUGCCGCUACUAACCUGAAUCUGAUUCACAAAACCUUGCAACAAUGUCUCAGUUUCCCUACUGUUGAAUGGAGUCAGCUCCAGAAAGGGUAUUUUCACAAGAUGGAAGCAGUAGCUUCGUGUCUUCCAGCUCUUUUACCUGUGCCUCUUUCAGUGCGAAGUAGAACUCUCUGGCAUUAGCCUCUUGUAAGGGCUAAGGCAUCGUGGGUGUCACCAAGCCAAGAGUGCAUAUCACCAACAGAUCUGUGAGUAUCUCUAGUUAUGUACCUUUACUCCCCCCAAAACUAUGCCACUUCAGGGAUAUUGGUGUAGUGUGAGUUUACAUUGAAUAAGAUAUGGAAAAAGUCCAGCACAGAACAACAAAAAUUAUUUGAGGCCUGGGAAGCAUGACUUAUGAUUAUAGUCUUCAAAUACCUGAAGGGAGGUUAUAAAGAGGAUGGAGAUAGACUUUCCUCUGUGGCUAUAGGGAACAAGACUUGGAGCAAUGACCCCAAACUGCUGCAGACGAACUUUCUGACCUUGAGGUUAUCAAACAUUGGAACAGUCUACUUGGAAUUCCCAUCCUGGAAAUGUUAAGAGUGUGUUAGAAAGACACUUCAGGGCUGAUCCUGCCUUGAGCAGAGGGCUGAACUAGAUGAUCUCAUGAGGAAAGAAUCCCACCCCUUAUAUCCUAUGAUCUUGUGAGCCUACUAUCCUAAAUAAUCCCUUGUUAGAAAUUGUGCGCAGAGAAAGGGGUUUCCUUUGGCAAUACGGGAAGCACAGCCUGUACCUUCAGGGGCCCACAACUUCCCCCAUAGUAACUAAGCAUGAUAGACAAGCUUAACGGCAGACCUGUGCCUUAUUUGGUCGUACCCUGCAGAUUGAAGAAAAGUCAUGCAAUACUAGUAAUUUUCCACUAAAGCUUUGCGCAUGUGAAAUAUCAUGUAACCAGAGAAUAUAAAUACGUGUGUGAGAGUGCAGCCGGGGCCCCUCUGCCUCUCUAAGGAAGGGGGACCUUCGGCCGAAUAAACUGAAAAGACCACACCCUCAUCUCCUGCUUAUUUGAGUCUCAUCUGGGAAACGAGCCCCAUUGGGGUCAGGAGUAUUCGCAGGUGUUCCCUUUCCAGGUUGGGAGGUUAAGCGAAUAAUUUCUCCGAGAAAUUUGGCGAGCCAGCCAGGAGCACCCAGCUCAUCAUGUCGCCACUGCUGCCUGAACCCAACCCCCAGCUGGCCAUAACAGAGGAGUCUCUCCAGUGUUACACAGGUCAGCUGCUUUAGCUCAGCCAGUACCUUUAAAUUGUAAUCUUCACCCCUAUCAACCAGGAAGUUAAUUUUGAGUAAAACAACAUCAGCGAAAAAACGCCUUGGCUCCAGUCUGGAAAAGUCCAUAUCAAGUUCUCCUUACUACGCACAUUGCUGUAAAAAUUGCCGAGGAAAAAAAGCUGGAUUCAUCACAGUCACCUCAAACCUGGCACCGAACCCAGUUCUGAAAACAAGACAUUAGCAAGUCACGACCAACCAACCUCUGUUCCACCCCUGUGGCUAAAAAGAAUCGGAAAAUUGUGGACUGUCCAGACUCCUUAACAAGAAUGGAAGAACAUUUAAUAUCUGUGUUUUUAGGAUUGCUUUGUAUUACCUUUCUUGUCAUAUUUUGUGUUUAUAUUUCACUGUAAAAGCAGGGGAAAUUAUAAGUUAAUAAUGGCAUUUCAGUAGGUUAUCCUGACAGGAUUAUUGCUCGGGGCACAUAGGACAAACGCCUGUUUGUGGGAAAGUGAUACAGAACAGGAAGGUCAGUGGAAAGAUAAUAGUUACCUGAUUUCCACUAUAGCCAUAGCGCAGGCCCUAAAUUUAUCUGAUUGCUGGAUAUGUGGCAAACAGCCCCCCUCCACUAACUUUCCACCCUAUCUUUUAAUCCCCUGGAAAAGAAACUUCUCUAGUCCAGAAUGAGCUGAUACAGAUAGAAUUAGAGUGAGUACCUGGCAAAGUAACCCUUACUUUAAAGAAAUAGUGCUCUCAGAUGCCAUGUUGUCGGCCCAAGUGUGUUGGGAAAAUCCUUGUAGAAGAGAAAAGAGAUUUUUAGAAUGGCAGCCAGGUUGUAAACUAACCAUUAACACCACACACCUAAUAUGGCCAAACAAUACUGCGGUAGAAGCCAAAGAAACUAAAAGAAAAGGAUACCUCCCCUGGAAUGUCUCUGCCCCCUGCAGCUCCUUACAGCUUCCUUAUGUAUGGCAGUUUAUAAAAGAUUCUAUAGGAUGCUUCACUUCUAAUAAAACUUGGAGCUUAUUACCAAUAGCACAGCAGAGAGCAUUAAAUUAUUGCAAGGACAGGCUUCUGCCAACCGUGCUAUAACUUUAGAAAAUCGCCUAGCAUUAGACUAUUUGUUAGCUAGAGAAAGAGGGGUAUAUGCUUUAAUCACAGGAGGACCCUACUGCACCUAUAUUCCUGACCACACUGACAAUAUAACGGCCAUAGUAAAAACAAUUCGAGACACAGCACGACGGGUAAACUCUUUGGAAAGUUGGUCAAUAAUAGAAUACAAUCGCCUCAGGUCUAAAAAUGUGGGGAAAGUAUAUCUUAAAAUACAUUUUGUAAAAAUUUAGAAUUUUCUUAGUUAUUAUUUUAGUAAUUGCUGUAAUUAAAGCAUAUGUAGUUCGCAUUAUGCAAAAAAAAGUAAUUAAUCUCAAUGCCAUGCAAACCUGGGAAAUGGCCAGCAGGCCAUAGGCCUUUGGCCAUAAGGGGGGAUUGUUAGAAAUUGUGCGCAGAGAAAGGGGUUUCCUUUGGCAAUACGGGAAGCACAGCCUGUACCUUCAGGGGCCCACAACUUCCCCCAUAGUAACUAAGCAUGAUAGACAAGCUUAACGGCAGACCUGUGCCUUAUUUGGUCGUACCCUGCAGAUUGAACAAAAGUCAUGCAAUACUAGUAAUUUUCCGCUAAAGCUUUGCGCAUGCGAAAUAUCAUGUAACCAGAGAAUAUAAAUACGUGUGUGAGAGUGCAACCGGGGCCCCUCUGCCUUUCUAAGGUCGGGGGACCUUCAGCCGAAUAAACUGAAAAGACCACACCCCCGUCUCCCGCUUAUUUGAGUCUCAGCUGGGAAACAAGCCCCAUUGGGAUCAGGAGUAUUUGCAGGUGUUCCCUUUCCAGGUUGGGAGCUUAAGCGAAUAAUUUCUCCAACAACCUGUAGGAUUAGAUAGUCAUUACAUAUGAUUUUAUCUGAGUCUAUUAUAUCAGGGUGUACUAGUGUCCGUUCCCUCUGCACCCAUGUCCCACAGAUUUUGGGACUUUUUCUGUACAUCACUAAUACAGUUGGUCCUGUGUUAGGCCUGAGGACACAAUGCGCUACAGCAGGCUGGAUUCAGUAACAUAAACACUGUAUACCCCAGAUGAACUUGUGCUGUGUCAACCUCCCUAUGAAGAAAACCCAAAGGCUUGAGGUCAGGCAGCCUACCUGGGUAAGAGGACACUAAAACUCCGGUGAUUUUGUUUUUACUCCCCCAGCUCUGAGUCCUGGUCAUUCCGCCUAACUGUAUCUUGUUUCCACACAAGAAUAGAACCUCAGACCUCUGGGACUCCUCAGAGUUGGACUUUUUAGAGUGGCAGCUUUCUGUUGUUUAGGCUUACCAAUUUCCACUUCUAAGGAUACCCUGGUUGACUGCUAUUUUGCAAAUGUUGGGCAUUUCAUAGGCCAGAUCUGGUGCAUCUGCCCAUCAACUCACAGUGUGCAUUCACUUAGGUUUUUUCCAAUCAUUUUAGGGUCAUGUGAAUGCAACCAAUGUAAUUCUAAUCACUGGGAUAAUAUGAAACAUCUAUAGUAGUGAUCCUAAAGCUUUCUCCCAUUUGGAGAGGUCCUCUCCUAUAUGAAUAUUCCCUUAUAACAUUUUUGCUACUCCCCAGAUUUUUUCUUGUAAGCUCCAAGUAUCAAUUCAAAAGUACAGAAUAGAGCUUUUUUGUUUUUUUUUAACUCUUCUGAGUCAUCAGACCUAUCCAUUUGGCUCUGUCUCUAUUGCUUUGGCCCCAGAAAAUACAACAGACAACAGAGCUGUUCCACACUGGGCACCACACCACUACAAAGAGUAGGUUAGAAAAACAAUAGUCAGGAAUGGUUUGGAUAGCAGUGUUCCUUCCAGAAGCAAGAGUCUGGACAAAGUGACUUGAGGUCCCUUCCAGCCCUACUUUUCUAUGAAAGACAGUUGACUAGGCAUCUAUGUUUACCCUGUGUCUAAACUGAAGCAAUUAUUUAGUGCCUUUUUGGUUAGAAUUCCUUGGUCUCACCUUUCUUAUUAGACUGUAGUCUCUCUUCCUCCUCAUUCUCCCAACUUCCAGAUCCUGUUGCACUGUCUCUAUCCCAGUCAGGAAGCUACUCUUCUCCUGCUGCAGCCUUGUUUUCUCAAACAGCAGAUUUGCUGCCUCAAGCUGCAACUGUUGCCAUUUCAGGGCAGGUUUCAGGGAAUCCAACCUGGAUGAUGCUUCCUAAUACUCUCAUAGUCCUUAUACCCUUCUCCCAACAUGGUUGUACUUCUUCAUUUAGUCCUGAUUCUCCACAGACUGCCUGUAGUAAAUCAGAUUUUCCCUGGAUCCUUGUACAGAUCUGGUUAGUGGUUCCUUACUUGGAUUCUCAACACAGCAAGCCAACCAGCUGAAUCUUGUUUAGUUUUCCAGGUCUAUUUCCAUUUUUCAGGGAGCCAUUUAGAACUACACCCCUGUGUCAACAUCCUGCCUCUAUUGCCAGCUGUCAGAGCAACCUGCAUUUCAGAUCCCAUGGCAGUCCCUGUUGACUUGUACUACUUGGGCACAGGCAUGGCUUUGCAAUGAAUAGUUUCCCCAUUGUUUUUUUUUGAAAGAUCUUGGGUAUUUUCCCUGGCAAGAUCUUUAUUACUGUUUGUUUCCUGCUCCACCAGAAGCUUAAUUUGAUUUUACUACAUGAAGCCAAAGAUCAUAUCAUCAAGUUGAGGUACACUUGAUUGCCAUAAAAAUAAUAGAGAUAUUUCCUACUUUCUCCACAAAGUAUAAGGAUAUUUUUACUCCAAAGUUGUUAACUGAAAAAAAUCUGGCCUUUUAUUAUUUGAUUCUUACUUUUAUUCCUCCAAAAUCAGGAAGGUGGAAAUUCUAUUAACUUUAAACUACCGUAGGAUUCCUACAUAAGGACAAAAGUAAAAAUAGUCUUGUAAUUCUGGCAAAGCCUGUUCCUACCUCCACACCUCCAUAACUGUGAAACUCCUUUUGCCCAGUUUUGUUGUUCAAAAAAAAAAUAUUCAGAGCCCAGUAGCUGUGCAUCUAAAGGUGGGGACACAAGCAGAAAGAAGGGGCUUGAGCAGGGGCUGGGUCAGACAAUCGGAUGCCAGGCAGAUUCUGCCAUCCUCCAGUCUUGUUUCAGGUGUCCUGAUAAGGGACCCCACAGUCUUACCCACCCAAAAAGCUUAUAUAUGCUUUAUGGUCUGAUGUCUUCCUCACCACUGCUAAGGUGCUGAGCAAAUGGUAUGCCUCUCUGAUGUUACCCUUAUAAAAAUACUAUAAGAUACUAUACUAUCUUAUAAUCGUAACAAGUUUAUUGUAGGGCUGGCCACCCAGUCAAUUGACUGGUCAAAUAUUAUCGAUUGACUGGUCAAUUGACUGUAUAUUUUUGAAUGGUCAAAGAUUAUAGCAAUUUUACAAAAAAAAACCCUACUUUUUUUGUAUGUUACAGGGGCAUAGGUUGUAGCUGUGUUGAUCUAAGGACAUAGGCAGUACAUUUUUUGUAGUUUUCUUGACAAAAAUAUGAUUUUUUUACUGUUUUCGACACGCUUCUGAAUGGAAAAUUUGUGGGUUUUUUCUCUGUAUUAUUUGGACCUAUUGGCAAUUAAAAAAAAAAAUUGAAUGAUAUUUGAACUUUAUUUGACUGAUCAGCCCUAUAGUACUAUAAUACUAUUGCAAGCUGUUAUUUUCUUCUGUGGUUUGCAAUAAAAAUCUUGAAAACUAUCAUCUCAGACUAUCACAAAAGAAUGUUAUUAAUAUAUACAAAUACUAAUAAAUCUGAAUGUACAUAUAUGCUUGCUAUAUCUAGAUAUGAUAGUAUACAGAUAUAUAUAUAUACACAUUAGUUUUUAUCUUUUUAAUGAGUGUGUUUAUAAAGUACUAGGCAUAGCCAUUUGGAGAAUUCAAGAUUUACUGCAAACUGUAGUGCUACAUUAAUGAUUCAAUAGCAGUGCAAGGAUUAAAAUGCUCAAAUUAUAUUUAUGAAAUCAAA